AGCGAACGCUGGCGGCGUGCUUAACACAUGCAAGUCGAACGGAAAGGCCCUGCUUUUGUGGGGUGAUCGAGUGGCGAACGGGUGCGUAACACGUGAGUAACCUGCUCUAGACUUUGGGGUAACUUAAGGAAACUGGGCCUACUCCCGUAUCGGAUCUCCUCCAGCAUGGUGGGGGUUGGAACGUUUAGGCGGUUGGGGAUGGACUCGCGGCUUAUCAGCUUGUUAGUUGGGUAGUGGAUUGCCAAGGCUUGGACGGAUAGCCGGCCUGUGAGGGUGACCGGGCACAUGGGUACUGAGAGACGGACCAGAGGCCUACGGGAGGCAGUAGGGGGGAACAUUGCACAAUGGUCGGAAGCCGGAUGCAGCAACGCCGCGUUCGUGAAGACGGCUUUCUGGUUGAAAACCGCAUUCGCCUGUGACGAAGCGUGAGUGACGGUAAUGAGUAAAGAAGCACCGGCUAACUACGUG
rnacentral:rRNA from 1 species